CCCUUAGACGUUCUGGGCCGCACGCGCGCUACACUGACCAGUGCAACAAGCAUCCGUCCUUGGCCGACAGGCCCGGGCAAUCUUUGAACGCUGGUCGUGAUGGGGAUAGACCUUUGCAAUUAUGGGUCUUCAACGAGGAAUUCCUAGUAAACGCAAGUCAUCAGCUUGCAUUGAUUACGUCCCUGCCCUUUGUACACACCGCCCGUCGCACCUACCGAUUGAAUGGUCCGGUGAAAUCUCGGGACGGCGGCUUGGUCGCUUGCGUCCGACUGCUGAAACUUGAUUAAACCAUAUCAUUUAGAGGAAGGUGAAGUCGUAACA
rnacentral:rRNA from 1 species